GAUUAUCUUCAGAAUCUGGGCACAGUGUAGAAUGCCUGUAAUUCCAGGGGCUCAGGAGGCUGAGGCAGGAGGAU
rnacentral:miRNA from 1 species